rnacentral:tRNA from 1 species
CGCGGGGUGGAGCAGCCCGGUAGCUCGUCAGGCUCAUAACCUGAAGGUCGUAGGUUCAAAUCCUACCCCCGC